UUUGAUGAAGUUUUCGGAUGGAUUUAAACAGCUUAGUGGCGGACGGGUGAGUAACGCGUGGGUAACCUGCCUCACACUGGGGGAUAACAGUUAGAAAUAGCUGCUAAUACCGCAUAAGCGCACAGUACCGCAUGGUACAGUGUGAAAAACUCCGGUGGUGUGAGAUGGACCCGCGUCUGAUUAGCUUGUUGGUGAGGUAACGGCCCACCAAGGCGACGAUCAGUAGCCGGCCUGAGAGGGUGAACGGCCACAUUGGGACUGAGACACGGCCCAAACUCC
rnacentral:rRNA from 1 species